AGAAACUGUUUCAUUGAUACACAGAAUGACGGAGUAACGCCCUGAAAUGUGCACACCAAGCUACGGUAUGCGGUUUGAACAAAAUAGAACUGUAUAAAGCCCGUUAGAGUCGGCAGAAGGUCGGUCGUAAAGGUGCUGGGAUUUGAUCACAGUAGCUACGAAAGCGUCAGAGUGAUCUGAUGUGCCGCUGAUAUGCCGGGUGUCCAGAAA
rfam:Corynebacterium glutamicum ATCC 13032 DNA, complete genome.